CAUAGCGACUAUCGUGGCAUAUCAAUAAGCGGAGGAAAAGAAACUAACAAGGAUUCCCUUAGUAACGGCGAGUGAAGCGGGAAGAGCUCAAAUUUGAAAUCUUCAAGGUUCUACCUUGACGAAUUGUAGUUUAUAGAAGUGUUUUCUGUUAGUAGAGUGGCAAAAGUUCUUUGGAAUAGGACAUCAUAGAGGGUGAGAAUCCCGUAUUUGGUCAUUCCUUCCUAGCGUUGUGAUACACUUUCAACGAGUCGGAUUGUUUGGGAAUGCAGUCCAAAAUGGGUGGUAAAUUUCAUCUAAAGCUAAAUAUUGGCGAGAGACCGAUAGCGAACAAGUACCGUGAGGGAAAGAUGAAAAGAACUUUGAAAAGAGAGUUAAACAGUACGUGAAAUUGUCAAAAGGGAAGCGUUUGACACCAGUGUUGUUUAGUUGAAAAUCAAUUCAAUAAUUUUUGAUUUUAAGUAGUAUUGACUUCAUCAGCUUGCUGCUUUCUUUUCGGAAAUUAUUGAAUGCACUUUUCAGUUAACAAGUCAACAUCAAUUUCUUUUGUUGUAAAAGGGUAAGAGGAAGGUGGCUUACGCUUCGGCGUAAGUGUUUAUAGCCUUUUACCUCUGCAAUCGGAGAGAUUGAGGACAGCAGCGUAGACUCCUUCGGGGGUUAGAUACACUUGUGCUAAGCUAUAGCCUUGUAUAGACAACUUGUUGACUAUGCUCAGUCAUGUAGCUUACUCGCUUGUGCUAUUUUACCUACGCUUAGGAUGUUGACGAGACUGUCGAUCUC
rnacentral:rRNA from 1 species